GACGAACCGUGCGAACGUUGUUCGGAAUCACUGGGCUUAAAGGGCGCGUAGGCGGGUGUGCAAGUCUGCGGUGAAAGCCUCCAGCUUAACUGGAGAAGUGCCGUGGAUACUGCAUAUCUUGAGGAGGGUAGGGGCAUCUGGAACAUUGGGUGGAGCGGUGAAAUGCGUUGAUAUCCAAUGGAACUCCGGUGGCGAAGGCGAGGUGCUGGACCCUUUCUGACGCUGAGGUGCGAAAGCGUGGGGAGCAAACAGGG
rnacentral:rRNA from 1 species